AUGAAAGGCCUGGAGGCCAAAUUCCUGUACCCACAGAAUAAGUAAAACCCAGGUGGUAGCAGUGCAGGCUUCCCCAUGCUGCCCUGUCAAUGAGCCUCAGUUCUGAGAGUAUCCAAGUGAGUGGGCCAUUUUGUCCUUGUGCCCAUUCAGUCUUUGACCUUG
ensembl:misc_RNA